GAGGGUAUAGCUCAGUGGUAGAGCACAUGCUUAGCAUGCAUGAGGUUCUGGGUUCAGUCCCCAGUACCUCUA
rnacentral:tRNA from 1 species